CCUACGGGUGGCAGCAGUCGAGAAUCAUUCACAAUGGGGGAAACCCUGAUGGUGCGACGCCGCGUGGGGGAAUGAAGGUCUUCGGAUUGUAAACCCCUGUCAUGUGGGAGCAAAUUAAAAAGAUAGUACCACAAGAGGAAGAGACGGCUAACUCUGUGCCAGCAGCCGCGGUAAUACAGAGGUCUCAAGCGUUGUUCGGAAUCACUGGGCGUAAGGCGUGCGUAGGCUGUUUCGUAAGUCGGGUGUGAAAGGCGCGGGCUCAACCCGCGGACGGCACAUGAUACUGCGAGACUAGAGUAAUGGAGGGGGAACCGGAAUUCUCGGUGUAGCAGUGAAAUGCGUAGAUAUCGAGAGGAACACUCGUGGCGAAGGCGGGUUCCUGGACAUUAACUGACGCUGAGGCACGAAGGCCAGGGGAGCGAAAGGGAUUAGAUACCCCUGUAGUC
rnacentral:rRNA from 1 species